rnacentral:rRNA from 1 species
GAUGAACGCUGGCGGCGUGCCUAAUACAUGCAAGUCGAGCGAACGGACGAGAAGCUUGCUUUUCUGAUGUUAGCGGCGGACGGGUGAGUAACACGUGGAUAUCCUACCUAUAAGACUGGGAUAACUUCGGGAAACCGGAGCUAAUACCGGAUAAUAUUUUGAACCGCAUGGUUCAAAAGUGAAAGCCGGUCUUGCUGUCACUUAUAGAUGGAUCCGCGCUGCAUUAGCUAGUUGGUAAGGUAACGGCUUACCAAGGCAACGAUGCAUAGCCGACCUGAGAGGGUGAUCGGCCACACUGGAACUGAGACACGGUCCAGACUCCUACGGGAGGCAGCAGUAGGAAAUCUUCCGCAAUGGGCGAAAGCCUAACGGAGCAACGCCGCGUGGGUGAUGAAGGUCUUCGGAUCGUAAAACUCUGUUAUUAGGGAAGAACAUAUGUGUAAGUAACUGUGCACAUCUUGACGGUACCUAAUCAGAAAGCCACGGCUAACUACGUG